CGCACAUUGCGCCCUCUGGUAUUCCGGAGGGCAUGCCUGUUCGAGCGUCAUUUCAACCCUCAAGCCUGGCUUGGUGAUGGGGCACUGCUUUCGUCCUGAAAGCAGGCCCUGAAAUCUAGUGGCGAGCUCGCCAGGACCCCGAGCGUAGUAGUUAUAUCUCGCUCUGGAAGGCCCUGGCGGUGCCCUGCCGUUAAACCCCCAACUUCUGAAAAUUUGACCUCGGAUCAGGUAGGAAUACCCGCUGAACUUAA
rnacentral:misc_RNA from 1 species